GAAGAAAACAAGGUUUGAAGCAUUGAGGAAGUGCAAGAGAGAGGAGAAAUGUCACCAUACCACAGAGGGAGACCCCAGGAAGAAAGGAGAGUGAGAUGAGGACGACCUCUACUUCUCUUAGAAAACUCUGCUGCAGCCCUAUUUAGUGCCUUUUGUUUCUGUCUCAUGGGUGAGAACAGGAUCCCCUCAGCCAGCCUGAGCUUAAAGUGAUAUGAGAAAAUUUCUGCCAGUGGUACUGAUUAUAAAGAGCACUCAUCUUUAUAUCAGAUGCAGGAGAAAUGGAGAGAAUCAUGUGCUGUCUUAAGAAAAGCACAUGAUUGUUCUGUGAUUCUACAAAAGAUAUAAAACAUAUGUAUUUUUAUUUGAUUUACAUAUUCAAUUGCAUAGUUAUAUAAUGCAUGUUUUGUUAAUAACUCUUAAAACCGGGAUUCUGUUAUGCUGUCUCAGCCAACAGAAUUCCAACCUAAAGGAUAUGAAAUGACAUUCUGCCCAUAUUGUUCAAGAAAAUAAAUGCCAUUUAAAGAGUAAAUCAAGAGGUUUUUUUUUUUUUCUGGAUUGUUUCAUUGACUCAUAUGAGGGCUGGUGGGGAACAGUAACAGCUGUAAAUGACUC
rnacentral:lncRNA from 1 species